rnacentral:rRNA from 1 species
UACGGAGGGGGCUAGCGUUGUUCGGAAUUACUGGGCGUAAAGCGCACGUAGGCGGCUUUGUAAGUUAGAGGUGAAAGCCCGGGGCUCAACUCCGGAAUUGCCUUUAAGACUGCAUCGCUUGAAUUGUGGAGAGGUAAGUGGAAUUCCGAGUGUAGAGGUGAAAUUCGUAGAUAUUCGGAAGAACACCAGUGGCGAAGGCGACUUACUGGACACAUAUUGACGCUGAGGCGCGAAAGCGUGGGGAGCAAACAGG